GAUGAACGCUGGCGGCGUGCCUAAUACAUGCAAGUCGAGCGAACAGAUGAGGAGCUUGCUCCUCUGACGUUAGCGGCGGACGGGUGAGUAACACGUGGAUAACCUACCUAUAAGACUGGGAUAACUUCGGGAAACCGGAGCUAAUACCGGAUAAUAUAUUGAACCGCAUGGUUCAAUAGUGAAAGACGGUUUUGCUGUCACUUAUAGAUGGAUCCGCGCCGCAUUAGCUAGUUGGUAAGGUAACGGCUUACCAAGGCAACGAUGCGUAGCCGACCUGAGAGGGGGAUCGGCAACAUUGGAAAGGAGACAGGGUCAAGACUCAUAGGGGAGGAGGAAGAAGGGAUCCUUCCGAAAGGGGCGAAGGCCGGACGGAGAAGGGCGGGGGGAGGAAGAAAGGUUUUGGGAUCGAAAAACUUGUUUAUGGGGGAAAAAAAAAGGGGAAGGAAAAAAGGCACGUCUGGACGUAACAAAAUAAAAAGGCCAGGGCAAACUACGUG
rnacentral:rRNA from 1 species